UUUUCCUUAAAAGUAUCCUAUGUGUUGUUAUCUUCUCCUUCUCCAUUCACUUUCUUUUUCAUUCUCACGCACACACAUGGCAUCACUUUCAUUUUCCUUUCGUUUUCUUUUCGUUUUCAAACGGAGAGUUGCCCAACUCUCUUUACGCCGGCCACCGUACCUAACAACUCCGGAUGUAACCACUAAAACUACCUUCGUUCACAACUAAGAGGAUGAAGACCCCCUAUUUUACAAUGAAUUCCCCCCUCUGUGUAACCACCUCUAAUUGACCCAAAUCCGAAUCUUGUGUAUUUGGUGAUGGCUUUCGAUUGCUGCUUCUUCUUCUUUUCUUCCCCAGAGCCUUCGAAUGGCCUCCCCCUUUAUCUCGUGUUCCUCCAUUUUUAUCAAUAUUUUCUUCACCAA